rnacentral:rRNA from 1 species
GACGAACGCUGGCGGCGUGCUUAACACAUGCAAGUCGAACGGAAAGGCCCUGCUUUUGUGGGGUGCUCGAGUGGCGAACGGGUGAGUAACACGUGAGUAACCUGCCCUUGACUUUGGGAUAACUUCAUGAAACUGGGGCUAAUACCGGAUAGGAGCUCCUGCUGCAUGGUGGGGGUGGGAAAGUUUCGGCGGUUGGGGAUGGACUCGCGGCUUAUCAGCUUGAUGGUGGGGUAGUGGCUUACCAAGGCUUUGAAGGGUAGCCGGCCUGCGCGGGGGAGCGGCCACGUUGGGCCUGAGAUACGGCACAGACUCGUACGGGAGGCAGCAGUGGGGAAUAUUGCACAAUGGGCGGAAGGCUGAUGCAGCAACGCCGCGUGCGGGAUGACGGCCUUCGGGUUGUAAACCGCUUUCGCCUGUGACGAAGCGUGAGUGACGGUAAUGGGUAAAGAAGCACCGGCUAACUACGUG